UAUGUGAUCGUCUCUCGCAUAUCAAUAAGCGGAGGAAAAGAAACUAACAAGGAUUCCCCUAGUAACGGCGAGUGAAGCGGGAAGAGCUCAAAUUUGAAAUCUUAAAGGGUUUCCCUUUACGAAUUGUAGUUUAAAGAAGUGUUUUCUGUUGAGGUUUUGGUAAAAGUUCUUUGGAAUAGGACAUCAUAGAGGGUGAGAAUCCCGUAUUUGACCUUUACUUUCAACUUUGUGAUACACUUUCAAAGAGUCGGAUUGUUUGGGAAUGCAGUCCAAAAUGGGUGGUAAAUUUCAUCUAAAGUUAAAUAUUGGCGAGAGACCGAUAGCGAACAAGUACCGUGAGGGAAAGGUGAAAAGAACUUUGAAAAGAGAGUUAAACAGUACGUGAAAUUGUCAAAAGGGAAGCGUUUGACACCAGUGUUGUUUUUCUGAAAAUCAAUUAAAGAACUGUUUAUGCUAAGCUGUUUAGACUUUAUCAGCUAUCUGCUUAGUUUUGAGCUUUUCUUUAAUGCACUUUUCAGUUAACAAGUCAACAUCAAUUUCUUUUGCUGUAAAAAAGCUUGAGGAAGGUGGCUUGAGAUUCGUCUUAAGUGUUUAUAGCCUCUUGCCUAUGCAGUCGGAGAGAUUGAGGUCUGCAGCGUAGAUCCUUCGGGGCUAAAUGCAUUUGUGCUAAGUUAUAACAUUUUAUAGACAACUUGUUGACUAUGAUUUGUCUUGUAGCUUACUCGCUUAUGUUAUUUUACCUACGCUUAGGAUGUUGAGUAGCGACAUACGCAC
rnacentral:rRNA from 1 species